rnacentral:rRNA from 1 species
UACGGGGGGAGCAAGCGUUGUUCGGAUUUACUGGGCGUAAAGGGCGCGUAGGCGGCCAGCGCAAGUCAGUUGUGAAAUCUCCGGGCUUAACUCGGAACGGUCAACUGAUACUGCGCGGCUAGAGUGCAGAAGGGGCAACUGGAAUUCUCGGUGUAGCGGUGAAAUGCGUAGAUAUCGAGAGGAACACCUGCGGCGAAGGCGGGUUGCUGGGCUGACACUGACGCUGAUGCGCGAAAGCCAGGGAGCGAACGGG